rnacentral:tRNA from 1 species
CAAGUUAAAGCUAAUAUUAGCGCUUUAUUUACACUAAUGAAAAUAUUGUAUAAUCAAUAUAACUUGA